UCUUUUGAAUUUUCGUAAUUU
rnacentral:piRNA from 1 species